AGUGAACGCUGGCGGUAGGCCUAACACAUGCAAGUCGAGCGGCAGCACAGUAAGAGCUUGCUCUUACGGGUGGCGAGUGGCGGACGGGUGAGGCAUACAUCGGAAUCUACUUUUUCGGGGGGGAUAACGUAGGGAAACUUACGCUACUACCGCAUACGACCUACGGGUGAAAGCAGGGGAUCUUCGGACCUUGCGCGAUUGAAUGAGCCGAUGUCGGAUUAGCUAGUUGGCGGGGUAAAGGCCCACCAAGGCGACGAUCCGUAGCUGGUCUGAGAGGAUGAUCAGCCACACUGGAACUGAGACACGGUCCAGACUCCUACGGGAGGCAGCAGUGGGGAAUAUUGGACAAUGGGCGCAAGCCUGAUCCAGCCAUACCGCGUGGGUGAAGAAGGCCUUCGGGUUGUAAAGCCCUUUUGUUGGGAAAGAAAAGCAGCAGGUUAAUCCCCCGCUGUUCUGACGGUACCCAAAGAAUAAGCACCGGCUAACUUCGUG
rnacentral:rRNA from 1 species